CCCCUCUCAGGGUUGCCCCUGGAGAGUUUCCAGUACUCUACCAGUCUCAGCUACGGGAGAGACAGUCAAGCAGAGGUCUAACCAUUCCAUUUCUAGCUUGGGCAGUGACUAGCAAGUGGGAGACAAUCUGCUACAAGU